rnacentral:rRNA from 1 species
UGGCGACCGGCGCACGGGUGAGUAACACGUAUCCAACCUGCCGAUGACUCGGGGAUAGCCUUUCGAAAGAAAGAUUAAUACCCGAUGGCAUAGUUCUUCCGCAUGGUGGAACUAUUAAAGAAUUUCGGUCAUCGAUGGGGAGUGCGUUCCAUUAGGUUGUUGGCGGGGUAACGGCCCACCAAGCCUUCGAUGGAUAGGGGUUCUGAGAGGAAGGUCCCCCACAUUGGAACUGAGACACGGUCCAAACUCCUACGGGAGGCAGCAUG